AGCGAACGCUGGCGGCAGGCUUAACACAUGCAAGUCGAGCGGAUGUAGCAAUACAUCAGCGGCAGACGGGAGAGUAACACGUGGGAACGUACCCUUCAGUUCGGAACAACCCAGGGAAACUUGGGCUAAUACCGGAUACGUCCGUAAGGAGAAAGAUUUAUCGCUGAAGGAUCGGCCCGCGUCUGAUUAGCUAGUUGGUGAGGUAACGGCUCACCAAGGCGACGAUCAGUAGCUGGUCUGAGAGGAUGAUCAGCCUCACUGGGACUGAGACACGGCCCAGACUCCUACGGGAGGCAGCAGUGGGGAAUAUUGGACAAUGGGCGCAAGCCUGAUCCAGCCAUGCCGCGUGGGUGAUGAAGGCCCUAGGGUUGUAAAGCUCUUUGUGCGGGAAGAUAAUGACGGUACCGCAAGAAUAAGCCCCGGCUAACUUCGUGCCAGCCGCCG
rnacentral:rRNA from 1 species